rnacentral:misc_RNA from 1 species
UACAGAGACCCCAAGCGUUAUCCGGAAUUAUUGGGCGUAAAGGGUGUGUAGGUUGUUUUGUUAGUCCUAUGUCAAAGGCCGAGGCCCAACCUCGGUUUCGCAUAGGAAACGGCAGAACUAGAGAGUGAGAGAGGUCUACGGAACCCAUAGUGUAGGGGUGAAAUCCGUUGAUAUUAUGGGGAACACCAAAGGCGAAGGCAGUAGGCUGGCUCACUUCUGACACUGAAACACGAAAGCCAGGGUAGCAAAUGGG